GUCCGACAGGAGAAGCACUGGGAGAGGUGUGGGGACACGCACCCGUGAGCUUAAUAUCCUAUUCCUAUCGGGUGCGAGUACAGCAGUACGAACACAAUACAGGAAAGACUGGACCUUGCAUCGACGGGUUAAACAAAAGAUGCUCUCAGCUUGACAAAGACAGGAAGACCGCUGAGCUUGUUGGGGGCUUGGUGUCUUUACCAGACAGAACAGAGCACAAGGCAGACAAACACCCUGAACGGGAAGCCUGAAGGUUGCCAAAUCCU